rnacentral:lncRNA from 1 species
CCCAACCGCCGUCGUCGCGCUUCGCCUCGCCCCCAACCGCCGACGUCGCGGCCUUCGUCCCGCCCCCAACCGCCGUCGUCGCGCUCCGUUUGGCCCCCAACAGCCGUCGUUGCAGCCUCCGCCCCGCCCCCAACCGUCGUCGCCCCAUCCCCAACCGACCGUCGCUCCAUCAGCGCCCGUGGAUCCGACCACCGCGAUGACUGACUCCUCCGUUGUGCCAAUCUUUGCUGCAUCAGAGGGGUUGCUAACAGAGAAGAGUGCCUUGCCCAACCCCAUAGAGGAAAUCAGUAGCCAGCAACGCAGAUCAUGAACUCUGAUCAUGCGCCCGAUAGUUUUCUUUGAUCCAUCUUGUUUACCUUUUGUAUAGAAAGAUGAUGAGAGAUCAGUGAUCGGAACCGAUGCAUUCUUUGUACCAUGGAGAUUUUCUGAAAUAUUUUGUUUACCAGAAUUGAUCGUUCAGUUGCCAAAUUACAUCAUGUGAUUUAUCUUUUGGAGAAAUAUUUUGUCCUGCUAUUUGUUUAGUCAACUUUGUUUGCAUUUUUUUCCCCGUAACUUGGUAUGCAUGAGUUUCAG